UACGAAGGAUCCAAGCGUUAUCCGGAUUUAUUGGGUUUAAAGGGUGCGUAGGCGGGUUGAUAAGUCAGUGGUGAAAGCCCAGCGCUUAACGUUGGAACUGCCAUUGAUACUGUCGAUCUUGAAUGUGUUUGAUGUGGGCGGAAUAUGACAUGUAGCGGUGAAAUGCUUAGAUAUGUCAUAGAACACCGAUUGCGAAGGCAGCUCACAAAGCCACUAUUGACGCUGAGGCACGAAAGCGUGGGGAGCAAACAGG
rnacentral:rRNA from 1 species